AACAAACGCUGGCGGCGUGCCUAAUACAUGCAAGUCGAACGGGGAAAGCUUUCGGGUGAGUACUAGUGGCGCACGGGUGAGGAACGCGUGGAUAAUCUGCCUUAGAGUGGGGGAUAACUAGUCGAAAGAUUAGCUAAUACCGCAUAAGACCACAGGAGCUGCGGCUCAAGGGGUCAAAGGUUUUUCGCUCUAAGAUGAGUCCGCGUAAGAUUAGCUAGUUGGUGAGGUAACGGCUUACCAAGGCGACGAUCUUUAACUGGUCUGAGAGGAUGAUCAGUCACACUGGAACUGAGACACGGUCCAGACUCCUACGGGAGGCAGCAGUAGGGAAUAUUGCACAAUGGAGGAAACUCUGAUGCAGCGACGCCGCGUGAGUGAUGAAGGCCUUCGGGUCGUAAAGCUCUGUCGCAGGGGAAUAACACAAUGAAUGUACCCUGUAAGAAAGGAUCGGCUAAUUUCGUGCCAGCCGCCGCCGUAAUAC
rnacentral:rRNA from 1 species